UACGGGGGGGGCAAGCGUUGUUCGGAAUUACUGGGCGUAAAGGGCUCGUAGGCUGCCAACUAAGUCCGACGUGAAAUCCCUCGGCUUAACCGGGGAACUGCGUCCGAUACUGGAUGGCUUGAGUUUGGGAGAGGGAUGCGGAAUUCCAGGUGUAGCGGUGAAAUGCGUAGAUAUCUGGAGGAACACCGGUGGCGAAGGCGGCAUCCUGGACCAACACUGACGCUGAUGAGCGAAAGCCAGGGGAGCAAACGGG
rnacentral:rRNA from 1 species